rnacentral:lncRNA from 1 species
AUUUAGUCUAAUUUUAUUGGAAAUAAAAAGAAUAUGUUGAACAAAAACAACAUUAUUUAUACACAAGUAUUAAAAUGUCAUCAGCUAUAUCAGGAUUGUCGAAUUGACUUGAAUGGCUUCUAAUCUAUGAUUUCCAUAUUUAAGGUUUAAAUGAUAGCUAACUUAGCACGAGAGUUGCUAGCUGCUAUGUGAGAGAUAUUGCAUCAGCAACCACCUCAAUGCCACGAGAUAGGUAUAGAUCAUCUUCAAUUAUAGAACAAUUUCGCAAGAUGCGUCCACCCGUGUUUGAAGGUGGCCUCAAUAUGCUAGCUGUUAAAGAAUGGCUUCGCCACCUUGAGUGUAUCUUUAGGUUUUUGGAAUGCAUCAAAGCACAAAAAAAUCCUUUGUGUGGUAUUUAUGAUGGAGAAGGGAGUAGGUCAUUAGUGGGAGAUGACUAUCAGAUUUGUAAAAGUGCCUUGCGAUUCUUUCGUUAUUUUUACGAUGUCCAAGUUGUGGACAUUUUGUCUAAUCCCAACAACACAUUAUCUAAAUCCAUCUGCAUGAGUACAACUUGCAUCUUACUUACCACAACGAGAAUCUUGUAUCGCGAUUCAAGAGUGGAAUUUCACACUUCAUGGCUACCAUCAAUAACAAAAACCUCGUACAAAUUACAACCAAUAACUCUGAUACCACUUGUUGAAAAUAAAAUAGAUCGGGAGAAUAUAUAUGACAUGAUAUGAAGUAUAUGAUCGUAAACAAACAAUAAGAUAAAAAGCAAAGAAUUAAUUGGCUGGUGAAUGAAGUAUUUUAUUCAAUUGACUAAUAUGAAGAAAACAAAUAUGUGUUUAUGCAAUUAUUCUAUAUUUUAGCAAUACAAAACUUGUGAGAAGAGUUUAAUAUUGUAGGGAUGCAUGCCAAACCUUAGAAAUGCCACAAAGAUGGAAGCAAGAUCAAUAAUCAUGUGGAAUAAAGGAAAGAAUAUUUUCUACAAGAUUCAACCUAAUUUGGGUCAAAGAACCCAACGGAUAAGAUUCCACAACCAUCUCAUUGGCGAAUUUUAAAGUAAUUAAUUUAAGAUUCUUGGAAUUAAAUAUCUCAACCAAAG